rnacentral:tRNA from 1 species
AGACUCGUAGUUCAGUAGGUAGAGCGUGCGCGUACAAGGCGCAGGCGGCGUCCAUGAGUGGGUUCAAAUCCCACCGAGACUA